AACAUUCUUACUCAACACAAUCCUCCACCUCUCAUAAAACCAACUUUUUCAAUACAAAAUCCAUCACAACUCAUCAAUUAUUUCUCAUGACAUUAAGACUUUCUAAAGCAUCCUAUGUACCCAUUUAUUUCCAAAUCUUUUUUUUUCUUCCCUUCUUUUUCACUUUCAUUUCUUUUACUCUUUUUUUUUUCUAGGUACUAGGAUUUUUCAAUCAAGAUCAAAAUUCAUAAUUCAUAGUCACAUCUUCAUAACGCCAACUACCCCACAUCACAUAUCUCCAAAUUCCCACCCACGGCUAAAUCAAAGAUUAUGGAUAAUAAAGCUCAAAGGGGGCGAACUAGGAUUAUAUAUAGUAAAAGGAUAAUUAUGGGAAAUAUAGGCUAGCAAAGAUGGCCUUCUAUAAUAUCAAAGUUAUUAAGCACACUAUGUGACCUCGAGGGAGAAACCAAGAUAAGUUCUAGUGAGAAACAUGCAUGCUCGAACAAUCACUCAAGAAAAAGAAAUAAGACUGUAAAAUAGUGACAGUCAAGGCUCAAAUCCUCACAACUUAUUUCAUUGAUUGCAAACACAUAGAGACCAUGCUUAUUAUUCAUCAAUCAUGCUCAAUCACAACAAUAUCAACACGAACGCAUGCAAUUUCACAAGUUUUAAACAGAAAUCAUCAUGAGCCAGUUAUCCAACCAAUCUCUACACUACUCACAUCUUCAUUAAGGUAACAUCACAGGAAAAACACCAAAGCAAGACUAAAGAAAACUACAAACGAACAAAAAAAAAAAAAACAACCUAAACAAAUGGUGCACCAACAAAGACACAUCCCCCCAAACUUGUUCACCACCAAAGAGAAUAAGUUUGAAAAUGAAUUGUGGGGCAUGAAA
rnacentral:lncRNA from 1 species